rnacentral:rRNA from 1 species
GAUGAACGCUAGCGGGAGGCCUAACACAUGCAAGCCGAGCGGUAGAGAUUCUUCGGAAUCUUGAGAGCGGCGUACGGUGCGGAACACGUGUGCAACCUACCUUUAUCUGGAGGAUAGCCUUUCGAAGGAAGAUUAAUACUCCAUAAUAUAUUGAUUGGCAUCGAUUGAUAUUGAAAGCUCCGGCGGAUAGAGAUGGGCACGCGCAAGAUUAGCUAGUUGGUGAGGUAACGGCUCACCAAGGCGAUGAUCUUUAGGGGCCUGAGAGGGUGAUCCCCACACUGGUACGUGAGACACGGACCGAGACUCCUACGGAGGCGAGCAGUGAGGAA